AUUGAACGCUGGCGGCAGGCCUAACACAUGCAAGUCGAGCGGAUGAAGGGAGCUUGCUCCUGGAUUCAGCGGCGGACGGGUGAGUAAUGCCUAGGAAUCUGCCUGGUAGUGGGGGAUAACGUCCGUAAACGGGCGCUAAUACCGCAUACGUCCUGAGGGAGCAAGUGGGGGAUCUUCGGACCUCACGCUAUCAGAUGAGCCUAGGUCGGAUUAGCUAGUUGGUGGGGUAAAGGCCUACCCAGGCGACGAUGCGUAACUGGUCUGAGGGGAUGAUCAGUCACACUGGAAGUGAGACACGGUCCAGACUCCUAAGGGAGGCAGCAGUGGAGAAUAUUGGACGAUGGGCGAAAGCCUGAUCCAGCCAUGCCGCGUGUGUGAAGAAGGUCUUCGGAUUGUAAAGCACUUUAAGUUGGGAGGAAGGGCAGUAAGUUAAUACCUUGCUGUAUUGACGUUACCAACAGAAUAAGCACCGGCUAACUUCGUG
rnacentral:rRNA from 1 species